rnacentral:rRNA from 1 species
GGUUGCGAUCAUACCAGCACUAAUGCACCGGAUCCCAUCAGAACUCCGCAGUUAAGCGUGCUUGGGCGAGAGUAGUACUAGGAUGGGUGACCCCCUGGGAAGUCCUCGUGUUGCAACCG